GUCUAUGGCCAUACCACCUUGAAUGUGCCAGAUGUCACCUGAUCUCAGAGGCUAAGCAGGGUCGGACCUGGUUAGCACUUGGAUGGGGAACCGCCUGAGAAUACCGGGUGCUGCAGGCU
rnacentral:rRNA from 1 species